CAGGCUUAACACAUGCAAGUCGAGGGGCAGCAUGGUCUUAGCUUGCUAAGGCCGAUGGCGACCGGCGCACGGGUGAGUAACACGUAUCCAACCUGCCGUCUACUCUUGGACAGCCUUCUGAAAGGAAGAUUAAUACAAGAUGGCAUCAUGAGUCCGCAUGUUCACAUGAUUAAAGGUAUUCCGGUAGACGAUGGGGAUGCGUUCCAUUAGAUAGUAGGCGGGGUAACGGCCCACCUAGUCUUCGAUGGAUAGGGGUUCUGAGAGGAAGGUCCCCCACAUUGGAACUGAGACACGGUCCAAACUCCUACGGGAGGCAGCAGUGAGGAAUAUUGGUCAAUGGGCGAGAGCCUGAACCAGCCAAGUAGCGUGAAGGAUGACUGCCCUAUGGGUUGUAAACUUCUUUUAUAAAGGAAUAAAGUCGGGUAUGGAUACCCGUUUGCAUGUACUUUAUGAAUAAGGAUCGGCUAACUCCGUGCCAGCAGCCGCGGUAAUACGGAGGAUCCGAGCGUUAUCCGGAUUUAUUGGGUUUAAAGGGAGCGUAGAUGGAUGUUUAAGUCAGUUGUGAAAGUUUGCGGCUCAACCGUAAAAUUGCAGUUGAUACUGGAUAUCUUGAGUGCAGUUGAGGCAGGCGGAAUUCGUGGUGUAGCGGUGAAAUGCUUAGAUAUCACGAAGAACUCCGAUUGCGAAGGCAGCCUGCUAAGCUGCAACUGACAUUGAGGCUCGAAAGUGUGGGUAUCAAACAGGAUUAGAUACCCUGGUAGUCCACACGGUAAACGAUGAAUACUCGCUGUUUGCGAUAUACAGCAAGCGGCCAAGCGAAAGCGUUAAGUAUUCCACCUGGGGAGUACGCCGGCAACGGUGAAACUCAAAGGAAUUGACGGGGGCCCGCACAAGCGGAGGAACAUGUGGUUUAAUUCGAUGAUACGCGAGGAACCUUACCCGGGCUUAAAUUGCAGAUGAAUUACGGUGAAAGCCGUAAGCCGCAAGGCAUCUGUGAAGGUGCUGCAUGGUUGUCGUCAGCUCGUGCCGUGAGGUGUCGGCUUAAGUGCCAUAACGAGCGCAACCCUUGUUGUCAGUUACUAACAGGUUCCGCUGAGGACUCUGACAAGACUGCCAUCGUAAGAUGUGAGGAAGGUGGGGAUGACGUCAAAUCAGCACGGCCCUUACGUCCGGGGCUACACACGUGUUACAAUGGGGGGUACAGAGGGCCGCUACCACGCGAGUGGAUGCCAAUCCCCAAAACCUCUCUCAGUUCGGACUGGAGUCUGCAACCCGACUCCACGAAGCUGGAUUCGCUAGUAAUCGCGCAUCAGCCACGGCGCGGUGAAUACGUUCCCGGGCCUUGUACACACCGCCCGUCAAGCCAUGGGAGCCGGGGGUACCUGAAGUGCGUAACCGCGAGGAGCGCCCUAGGGUAAAACUGGUGACUGGGGC
rnacentral:rRNA from 1 species